rnacentral:lncRNA from 1 species
AUGCAAGGUGGCGCUGUGGAGCUUUCACCUAAGAACAUGUUUCCCAAAGCUGAAAUCGUUCAGGGCUCCAACAGGACUCCGCCCCAUGCACCCGUAUCUCUCACUCUCUGCUCACCGCCAAUCUAUCACACGGGGCAACUUGUGAUCUCAUGGAUGGCUGUGGUCUCUCUCUCUUCUAGGCCUUUACAUGGCUUGUGGCCUCUGCUGGGGAUGCUAUGGCCGCCUUUUCCCACUUGUCAAGACCCUUGUCACCACGAUCUUACAUGGGUGUUUUCCCCGAGGAGUCCAGCACCACUUCCUCUGAGCUCAACAGUGCUUCUUGUGGGAUACCGCAGCUGUUUGCUGGAGGCCACACCAUCCAUCCAUUCAACAAAUCCAGAAGAUCACCUACCUUCCUAGAGGUAUCAGGCGGGCAGGCGCAGCUGACGUUUGCACGAGAAAGGUUGUUUUAAAACAGAUACUGAUGCACUGAUCGACACACUAAUAACUCCCACUGGUCCAGUGUCUUCAGCCGUGAGACAGGAAAACAUGUCCAUCAUUUAGAACCGACCCUGGUCCAAGGUAGGGACUCUAUCAAUUCUAGUUGUUGUGAUGAUUUCUGUUAUUAAGAAGUUAAUUGGAAAAAAAACAGUAUGUGGC